UACGGAGGGGGCUAGCGUUGUUCGGAAUUACUGGGCGUAAAGCGCGCGUAGGCGGACCUGCAAGUCGGGGGUGAAAGCCCGAGGCUCAACCUCGGAACUGCCUUCGAUACUGCGGGUCUCGAGUCCGGGAGAGGUGAGUGGAAUUCCUAGUGUAGAGGUGAAAUUCGUAGAUAUUAGGAAGAACACCAGUGGCGAAGGCGGCUCACUGGACCAUAACUGACGCUGAUGCACGAAAGCUAGGGGAGCAAACAGG
rnacentral:rRNA from 1 species